AAAUCGUGCAGGAUCAGAUGGCCUUUGGGGUGCGUCCUGUCAUUAGACCGACUUACACAAAGCCAUAUCCUGAUUGGGUUGACCAAGCAUAUCCAUGGCCUAGAGGGUACAAAGUGCCAGAAUUCUCACUGUUUACUGGUUUGGGAGAGGUGUCUACCCUGGAACACAUAGGGCGAUUCACGUUGCAAAGUGGUGAUGUAACCGAUUACCACAAAAUGAGACUUUUCCCUAGUUCGUUAACAGGAGUAGCUUUCUCCUGGUUCAUUAACUUGCCAGCGAACUCUGUUCAAACAUGGCAACAACUGGAACAGUUGUUUCAUGCUCAGUUUUACAAAACUGAAUCUGAAGUCACUUUGGCUGAUUUGGCGAAUUUACGUCAAAUGCCAAAUGAAUGGGCAGAAAGUUUUCUCCAAAGGUUCAAAACAGCAAGAAGCAAGUGUUUUGUACCUCUGCCCGAAAAAGAAUUUGUCAAAAUCGCACAAGGCUGCUUAAGUUUUGAUUUAAAAAAGAAGUUCCAAGACAAGGAAUUUCCCGACCUUUUCCAGUUAAGUGCGAAUGUCAUUAGGUAUGAGCGAUUGAUAAGAGAAGAAGAACAAAUAAAAAAUUCUAGCAAAGGGACUUACUACAGAGACCCGAAUUUUGACGUUCAUACCAUCGAUGACGAAUCGUAUGAUCAGGCCGAAAUGUGUUUGGCCGAAUUAGUAAAAGGGGAUACAUAUACUUGUCCCAUAAUGGCCAAACCUAGACCAUCGGGCAAAGAUGAACCCGUAAAGGAUGGAAACAUAAAGGCUAGAACGUUCUCGUUCGAUGUAACCAAAGCUGACCUUAUAUUCGAUAAGUUAUAUAGGGAUAAGCAAAUAAAACUGAGCGAUAAGCACAAAUUGCCAAACCCUGAACAAAUAAAGGGUAAAAAAUAUUGUAAAUGGCAUAAUGCAUGGUCACAUUUGACUAACAAUUGCUUGGUUUUUCGUCACGUAUUGCAGGAUGCUAUUGAGUCAGGACGAAUUACGUUCGACGAUAAGAAAAAGAUGGCAGUGGACGAGAAUCCUUUCCCACAGCCACUUGGGGUAAACAUGGUAACAUCUGGAUUCAAGAACAAGUUACCAAAAUUCAAGUUAGUCAUAGAUGACGGAGAAGAAGAUCCUAAACCACAUCCCAGUGUCUUUGAACGUAUCAAAGGAAAAGAACCAAAAAAGGACGAAAACGUCCUGUGUGCAAGGUGUAAAAGGGAAGUAAAUGGAAACACGGAGAAACCAGAGACAUGGCAGCAUCCUCGUCGCCCUGUUUUCUUCCCAAACGUUCAGCCUGGCAGAGGACGAGGUACAUCAUUCUAUAGAGGACCGCCUUUUGAAAGGCAGUUCAGACCAACGGAUGUUGGAAGAACUUUUAGGCCGCAACCUCGCCGGCCAAAUGUAUGGCAUUCAUUCCAGUACACUGCAGGAAGAGCAAUACCCUUCGACGAAAUGACUAGGACUCAACAAAGGCGUUUCCAGCGAAAUUACGGACGGAUGAUGAGGCAGCAACAAGGAAUGCCACACCCUAAAGCACCUCUACUACUCAAGGUAGCCAAUCAAAACGUCCUAAAGAGUAAUAAAGAAACUGGUACAGAUGAAUCAAUGAAAGAACUGCCAGAGACCUCUUCUGGGAGAUCAAGGUUUGAGAGAGAUAAAAAGGAUGAAGAAGAUCCAGAUGAGCCUCUUGCUAUCCAAUUCGGUACGUUGCCUCCCGUCAUGGCCAAUAAUUACUUACUGGCCAAUGAGUUCAAAAAUAAGGAAAAAGAAGAAGAGAGGGAGGACAACGAAGGAGAAGCCUGCGUGCUAGUGUGUGAAGAAGGCCAGACUUCUGGAGGGGCCUACAACGAUGAAGAGGACGAUGGGAUGACAGACAUUGAAGAAGAAAUUGAUCUAGAAGCAGAAAGGAAAAAGAGAGGAGUAUCACGCAAUACUCUGUUUAAGCAACUACAUCAAGAGGGAGUCCGCGAAGUAGACUUAUUGGGGGAGCCAUCUGGGCGUCCUUUCGAUUUCUACGUACUGUACGGAACACCCAAAAGAAAGAAGAGAGUGCCUCGCUCUGAGAAGUAUGGGUCACCUCCAAAAAUAAUGCCUCCUCCCACAGGUUGGAUGAUUGAUAAGGAAGAAAAAAUAAUGCCUCCUCCCACAGGUUGGAUAACCGAUGAGGAAGCAUUAGAAAAAAGCAAGAAGGAGAUUCAGGAGACAGAAGAUCAGCGUGACAUACUACACGUCGACCUAUCACAAGGGGAUAAUUCGACAGAAAACAAGCAAGAGGUAGAAAUAGAGGCUGCCGAAAAGGUUGUUUUUAAACGGCCAGCCAUGAAGUUGACAAAACACCUGAGGCCAUUAUACGUUAAAGCUCUAGUUAACGGCGUCCCAGUGGCAAAAGUGCUUGUCGACAAUGGAGCAGCUAUAAACACCAUUCCAUCCAGAAUGAUGAGAAAGCUCGCAAANGUAAUAAAGAAACUGGUACAGAUGAAUCAAUGAAAGAACUGCCAGAGACCUCUUCUGGGAGAUCAAGGUUUGAG
rnacentral:lncRNA from 1 species